AACAAACGCUGGCGGCGUGCCCAAUACAUGCAAGUCGAACGAGGAAAGCUUUCGGGUGAGUACUAGUGGCGCACGGGUGAGUAACGCGUGGAUAAUCUGCCUUAGAGUGGGGGACAACUAGUCGAAAGAUUAGCUAAUACCGCAUAAGACCACAAGAACUGCGGUUCAAGGGGUCAAAGGUUUUUCGCUCUAAGAUGAGUCCGCGUAAGAUUAGCUAGUUGGUAGGGUAACGGCCUACCAAGGCGACGAUCUUUAACUGGUCUGAGAGGAUGAUCAGUCACACUGGAACUGAGACACGGUCCAGACUCCUACGGGAGGCAGCAGUAGGGAAUAUUGCACAAUGGAGGAAACUCUGAUGCAGCGACGCCGCGUGAGUGAUGAAGGCCUUCGGGUCGUAAAGCUCUGUCGCAGGGGAAUAACACAAUGAAGGUACCCUGUAAGAAAGGAUCGGCUAACUUCGUGCCAGCAGCCGCCGUAACAC
rnacentral:rRNA from 1 species